UGUGUGUACAUGCGUAAUGACACACAUGCUAUUUGUGCUGCUGCAGUUUCCGGCCGGCCGCGCACGACCGCGCCAGCCAGCCAGCCACCACACCACUUUCAAUCGGCUGCCAACGCGCGGCACAGAGUAUUUUUUUUCGAUCCGCGCUGCUCUUUCGAAUCGACUUUGUUUAUAAACUGCGCCAGCCGGCCGAGUGAGCAAUAGUUUCGUCGGCCGUUUCUGCCUUCGUGGAAACCAGGAGAUGUACUCACCUGUGGAGCAAUCGCGGAAGUUUUUUUAUUGGAUUUCAUCAUUAACGAUUGUGUUAAAUUGAUAUGGUUAAUUUUACCGCUGGUUAAUUUGUAAAGACAAACGGCUCAUUUCAAAACUGCAGUGUGCAUUUGAACAGCGAGAUAGACUCAUUUUAUUUUACCACUUCCUGAAAUGCGAUUAAAAUGCUUUUUUAUUUAUGUGAAACCGCAAAGCAAAUAUAAUGUCAACAUGUAUUGCGA